rnacentral:rRNA from 1 species
UACGUAGGGGGCUAGCGUUGUCCGGAAUCAUUGGGCGUAAAGAGCGCGUAGGCGGCCAGAUAAGUCCGGUGUGAAAGUCAAAGGCUCAACCUUUGAAUGCCGCUGGAAACUGUCUGGCUAGAGUCCGGGAGGGGCGAGUGGAAUUCCUGGUGUAGCGGUGAAAUGACGCAGAUAUCAGGAGGAACACCGAUGGCGAAGGCAGCCCCCUGGGCCGACAUUGACGCUCAGGCACGAAAGCGUGGGGAGCAAACAGGG